ensembl:lncRNA
UUGCCUUGGGCAAAUGUUUUUUUAUUGAUAACAACAUUGGCAUAUACUGAUCAAAACAGGACGAUACAAAAAAAAAGCCUCUAGUGCAAUUAAACGAUGAACAUACAAAGAUACUGCCUUGACCAUAGCAGUCAGGCUACUGCUACUUUGUUUUGAGCCAAAGAGUUAAGAGUGUUAACGCCAAUAAAAUUGGUUUGCGUUAACGCCGUUAAUAACGCGUUUAACUGACAGCGCUCGUGAAAAUCAAUAUUAAAAUUCAUGUAGCCCUAUGCGAAAAUAUUCUAUGGAUAGGCCUACAGAUUUUAUGGCCCUUCUUUCUAUAAUGUAAUUGGUUGUGGGGUGUGGCAGAACCACUAUGAACAAAUAUCAGAAAUCAUACAGUUUCACUAGUAAAUCUAUUGCUAUGUGGAAAAAAUGUCAUUACGGCGGAUCAAAUGGGAGACAACAAACAUUGAACAAAAGUAACAAAAUGUAUUCAAAUGUAUAAGGCUGCAUUCAAUGCAAUUAUAAGGACACGUUUGUAAACGAAUGACAGCUAUACAUUUAAACAAGAACAAUAAUAAAAAUAAAAAUAUUUGUAUAAGGCUGCAUUCAAUGCAAUUUGAAGGACAUGUUUGUAAACGAAUGACAGCUAAACAUUUAAACAAGAACAAUAAUAAUAAAAAAACAAAUGUGUAAGGCUGGAUUCAAUGCAAUUAGAAGGACACGUUUGUAAACGAAAAAACUCUUGUCUAUAUUUUACUGUGAUUUUUGCCAAGUGCAACACAAUCAGUGACACACUGAUUUGGGCAGUGAAUUGCCCUUUUCCCUUCCAUAGUUGUGCUCUCUUAGGCCCCGUUUACACAAAGGGAAAACGCAGAUAUUUCCACGCGGUUUGGCCUCUCAUUUACACGAAAACGCUGUCAUUUAUCACAGAAAACGAUAAUUUCUAAAAACUCCGGCCGAAGUGGAGAUUUCUGAAAACGCCGGUUACGUGUUGUCGUGUCAACGGAGAGAAACAGGGUUUUAGGUUCUGAAGUGUCACAUUAUGCGCCAGGAAAUGCUUAACGUCAUAUGAGCGCUGUUACGUAUUUUAAGAAUCUAAGCUACCCACACAUAGACCCAAUGAAGCAUGACCAAACAUAUAAGCCGUAAAUACUAUACAUAGCCACUAGGGGAGCAAGACCUUAUUGAAAGCGGCUCCACCACAGAAGGCAUCACCUGAAGAAGUCGAAGCCACCACGCCCACUAGGCCACGCCCACUUGACGGUCCCUUACCUGUGCACACUACCAGAAGGGGCAAGAGAUUUUCAGCGACACCCUGGAGGGGACAUGGGCCUUUGCCCAUGUCCCGUAGUAGCCAGAGUUAUUAUCUCUCACAACUGUUAGAUACAAUUCCCUCCGAAUAGCUUCAGUUACCAUACCGAAACAUGCCGACGACUUUAUAAUAAAUGAAGUGGGUUAAAGCAACCCGGGAUUGGACAACUUUCUUCGAGAAUAUGCAAUAGCGCCCUAUGUUUACAGUUUGUUUGUUACAGGAAGACCCUCGUGUUAUUCGUUGUUGUUGAUUCUGAGGAUUCUGAUUGGCUU